AAAUAAAUGAGAUUUAAAUAGUUUAAUAAAAAUUUUGAUUUGUGGUGUCAAAGAUAUAUAGUAUAGUAUUUUAAAUC
rnacentral:tRNA from 1 species